GAUGAACGCUGGCGGCGUGCCUAAUACAUGCAAGUCGAGCGAACAGAUGAGGAGCUUGUUCCGCUGACGUUAGCGGCGCACGGGUGAGUAACACGUGGAUAACCUACCUAUAUGACUGGGAUAACUUCGGGAAACCGGAGCUAAUACCGGAUAAUAUAUUGAACCGCAUGGUUCAAUAGUGAAAGACGGUUUUGCUGUCACUUAUAGAUGGUUCCGCGCCGCAUUAGCUAGUUGGUAAGGUAACGGCUUACCAAGGCAACGAGGCGUAGCCGACCUGAGAGGGUGAUAGGCCACACUGGAACUGAGACACGGUCCAGACUCCUACGGGAGGCAGCAGUAGGCAAUCGUCCGCAAUAGGCGAGAGCAUGACGGAGCAACGCGGCGUGAGUGAUGAAGGUCUUCGGAUCGUGAAACUGUGUUAUUAGGGAAGAACAAAUGUGUAAGUAACUGUACACGUCUUGACGGUACCUAGUCAGAAAGCAACGGCUAACUACGUG
rnacentral:rRNA from 1 species